rfam:Rattus norvegicus chromosome 16, whole genome shotgun sequence.
GGGGAUUUGGCUCAAUGGUAGAGCACUUGCCUAGCAAGCGCAAGGCCCUGGGUUCAGUCCCCA